rnacentral:rRNA from 1 species
CAGUCGCCGCGGGAAUACGUAGGGUGCAAGCGUUGUCCGGAAUUAUUGGGCGUAAAGAGCUCGUAGGCGGUUUGUCGCGUCUGCUGUGAAAACGCGAGGCUCAACCUCGCGCCUGCAGUGGGUACGGGCAGACUAGAGUGUGGUAGGGGAGAUUGGAAUUCCUGGUGUAGCGGUGGAAUGCGCAGAUAUCAGGAGGAACACCGAUGGCGAAGGCAGAUCUCUGGGCCAUUACUGACGCUGAGGCGCGAAAGCGUGGGGAGCAAACAGGAUUAGAUACCCCCGUAGUCCCUGUCUCUUAUAC